ensembl:lncRNA
GGGGGGGAUGUGCAGGUGAAGUGCAAGGUCUUCGGCCAGUGAAACUGCUCAGUGUGGUGCAGCGGGGAGAGUCCACACCACCCCAUGGGGGCGUCAGACCCACAGCUGGCCAGCACCAUAGGGGGCAGAGCGCCUGGGCAGCAGUUAUCCGCUCCGAUUAUAACACACAAACUACGCCAUGGCAGUGUCCGUACUGGGCCAGUGUGCAGGGGGCGAGGCACACGGAGCUCUGCGCUUUCGCCUCACCCUUGCUAUGAACCACCAACGACUCCAAAAUAAAGUCUACUAAAAAAAGUGUUCAUCUGAAAGUCUUUAAGGGUGAAAAGAUGAACCGCAAAGGGCAAAAUGUGUUUCAAAUGUUGUUAACGGAUAACAGCAAAAUUAAAAAUUAAAAAUUAAAAAUAACUUUGUGGGAAAGAUAGGAAGAAGGCCCGCAAUUUCAAAAUGCCAGCGAAAUCGGGGAUCUGGGUUGCUGUGUUCCGAGAGGCCCGCGGGCAGGUCCAGGAAGCAGCCGGCGGCGCAGGGCGGAGGAGCAGACCGGCCUCUGGGGGGCGCCACACCAGCCUGGCUCACCACUUCCUCUUCCCGGAGCCAGGGAGCAUGGGAGAUAUGCAAAUACUCCCAAGGCUCCCUGGGAGUCCUUUAAAAGCCGAGGUGGGCGGGUCCACUUCGCCGGCUCCGGGACUCGGAGGCUCGAGGCUCGAGGCUUUAAAGAGACUGGAGCAGCGCUCAGCUGGAGAAGUUUCCAGAAGCUCAGGCCUCCCGACCUCCGCAGGUUCUACCUCCAGGUCCCCGAACAAGAAACACCUGCCCGCCCCUGCCCUCUUCCACCCCUCCCCCCGCCCGGCACCUCGCUGGCCGCAGCACCUGUGGGCCUGGACUCCCACGUGGGCAGCAAGCGCCCCCUUGCCCGUCACCCCUAGAGGCAGCAGUGUGGCCAUGUGCCCCCCGGUGGUCGCUGCAAGAGCAGAGAGGGCAUGGCCUACCUCUACGCUUCCUGGCUGUACGAGCUGAAGCAUGGAAGCCAGCUGGAGGUCUGCUUCACCUGCUUCAAGAUUGCCUUCAUGGACCUCAAAGACAUGCUGGAGUCCGAGGACUGGGAAGAUGAAGAGUGGGACCCCAUGGAGCUGGAUGAGGCAGAGCACGAGCAGGCAGAGAACCUGGGGCCAGAACCUGGCUGGGAGCCCUGGGCCCUGGUGCCAACCUCAGUGGAGAUAGAGGAAGAAUACCUGGAUGACUCCAUGGUGCCCAUUGAGCUGGAGCCACAAAGUGCAGUGCCCCUAGGCCCGGGCCCCGAGCAUGCUGACUGGACCCAGGCUCUUCCCUGGAGGUUUAAUGGGCUUCCUGCCUGCAACCACUGGCCGAGCCCCCCUUCCCCAAAGCCGGUGUUCCCCAGAGUGACUCUGUCCCCGGUGGAGCCCAUGGUGCUGGAGCUGGGCACCAUGUGGCCAGUGGAGCCUGCGGAGGCCAAGGCCUGGUUGCUGGAUCUGCAGGUCUUCCUUGCGUGGUGGGCUACCAAGACACCACCAUCUACCUGCGGAAGAUGACUCCAACUCAGGCCCUGAGGAGCCUGGGCCAGCGCUGGAGAGUGCUGCUGGAGCCCGCUGAGGUAUGGAUGCUAAAGCUCCAGGAAUCAGCUGAGCCACCGUAUGACCUGCUUCGUUGCCAGCUGAGUAUCCUGGAGAAAACACAACACAGUGAGCAGCUGUUGCCUGCACGCACGAUCCUGCAGCAGAAGGGAUUCACCAUCGUGUCCUACUCAGCCUGUAGUGUGAAUGAGGGACACUCAGCCUCUGCUUCAUGGUUCCCCCACCUCGGGGCAGGACCCGGGACCCCUGGAGACUGGGAGCCGUGUUCCCAGGGGGCCUGGAGAGAGCCUGGCUGUCACGGGAGUCCUGGCUCUGGGGGAGCUGUCCUGCUUCCAGCCCUUCCACCCCGAGCUGGAGAACUGAGGGGCUGAGCCCCAGGCAGUCAGUCACCACUGCCCUGGCCAUUCCAGGAGACCAGGGACUGGGCCGGGCCGGCCACUGUCCCUCCUCAGCAGCCGGGGGAGCAGGCGGCAGGGCUGGCGAGCUUCAGCUGGAGGAGUGUGGAGCAGCCUGGGACCGGGGAAUUGGACCUGCUGGGGCCGGGGUGGGGGUUAACCUGUGUUCAUACCAGGUGACUGCCGUAGUUCAGAGCGUCACACUGACCUGGCCUUGCGGAGGUGGAAGGCUGUGUGGUGUGUGACGUGGGAACAGCCAGCACUGUGCUCUGGUCCGUCCUGGCUGGGGCAAAGGACCUUUUGAGGGGUGACCGGGAUGUGUUCUAAUAUUUGAUGGUGUGGUUUCUGCUGUGCUGUGGGAGGAAACCUGCUUUCAAAAACAAUGUUGGCUUUUUAUGCAGUUUUAGUAUUGAAUUCUUCCUGUUCCUUUGUAUAUGUUUUAGAUAAAUAAAAUCAUAUGAGCUUUGCUCGGAGUCCUUGUUGGGUCCCUUGACAAGUCCUAGGACUGUCCUCAUGCGCCGCGUCCUCCCUGCUCUGAAAUCCCAGCAGGUGGAGCAGGGGGCCACAUGGGGAGUUUGUGUCGAAGGAGUCUGCUCAGAACAAACAAGGGCCCACAAGUUUUAAACGUCACUUCCCACCAAACACAGACGAAUACAAAUACGUGCCUCAGAAUUUUAAAAAGUCUGUAGGCCAAACAUGGUGUAAAGGGUGUUGUCUGUGAGGGAGUGGUGCACAACAGCAGGAGGCGCUGGGGCCAUUUUUCAGGGGCGAGCAGGACGACUCCGGUGGCAGCUGUGUCCCUCCUGCUGGUAACAAUCUCGAGGUUUCCAGUUCCUCACUGCUGACCCUAGCUGGGCGGCCCUCUGUGGUUCGAGACAGCUGGGUGGGUCACACACAUGUACCAGCUUACACUCAAGGAAUCCCAGUGUUACGUAUUACAAAUGUACCCCCAAAAGAGGAAUGAGGGGCCAGGGAUUUAGCUCAGUGGCACAGCGCCUGCCGCACAAGUGUAAGGUCCUGAGUUCGAUUCCUAGUACCAAAAAACAAAGAGGAAUGAAGUCAAGGGAUGGGUGGAGGGGGAGGAGCAGAAAGGAAAGAGGAUGAAAAAAUUAAAAUGUGUUGCAGGGUGGGCAUGGUAGUAUGCACGCCUGUGAUUCCAGCACUUGGGAGGCUGAGGCAGAAGGAUCUCGAGUUCAAAGCCAGCCUGGGCUACAAAGUGAGACCUUGUCUCAAAAAACAAUGCACAGCAUGGUGGCGCACACCUAUGAUCCCAACACUCAGGAGGCUG